rnacentral:rRNA from 1 species
CAACGAAUCUUCCCCAAUGCCGGAAACGGUGAGGGAGCGACGCCGCGUGAAGGACGAAGUUCUUCGGAAUGUAAACUUCUGCAAGGACCGUGAAAGUUUUAGGGCUAAUACCCCAAAAGAUUGAUCUGGUCCCUAUUAGGGGCGGCUAACUCUGUGCCAGCAGCCGCGGUAAUACAGAGGCCCCAAGCGUUACUGAGAAUCACUGGGUUUAAAGGGUGCGUAGGUGGCGCGUUAAGUUCGUUGUGAAAUCCCUGGGCUCAACCCGGGAACUGCUUCGAAUACUGGCGUGCUUGAGGCUAGUAGAGGUCACUGGAACUGACGGUGGAGCGGUGAAAUGCGUAGAUAUCGUCAGGAACGCCGGUGGUGAAGACGGGUGACUGGGCUAGUUCUGACACUGAGGCACGAAAGCGUGGGGAGCGAACGGGAUUAGAUACCCCCGUAGUCC